rnacentral:piRNA from 1 species
UAUGACUAAAGUCAUGCUGAAAUUCAGAGG